GAUCAUGGCUCAGGAUGAACGCUAGCUACAGGCUUAACACAUGCAAGUCGAGGGGCAUCAGGAAGAAAGCUUGCUUUCUUUGCCGGCGACCGGCGCACGGGUGAGUAACACGUAUCCAACCUGCCGAUGACUCGGGGAUAGCCUUUCGAAAGAAAGAUUAAUACCCGAUGGCAUAUCUGAAAGGCAUCUUUCAGCUAUUAAAGAAUUUCGGUCAUUGAUGGGGAUGCGUUCCAUUAGGG
rnacentral:rRNA from 1 species